UACGGAGGGUGCAAGCGUUAUCCGGAUUCACUGGGUUUAAAGGGUGCGUAGGUGGGCUAGUAAGUCCGUGGUGAAAUCCCCGAGCUUAACUCGGGAACUGCCGUGGAUACUAUUAGUCUUGAAUAUCGUGGAGGUAAGCGGAAUAUGUCAUGUAGCGAUGAAAUGCUUAGAUAUGACAUAGAACACCAAUUGCGAAGGCAGCUUACUACACAGUCAUUGACACUGAGGCACGAAAGCGUGGGGAUCAAACAGG
rnacentral:rRNA from 1 species